GAUGAACGCUGGCGGCGUGCCUAAUACAUGCAAGUCGAGCGAACGGACGAGAAGCUUGCUUCUCUGAUGUUAGCGGCGGACGGGUGAGUAACACGUGGAUAACCCACCUAUAAGACUGGGAUAACUUCGGGAAACCGGAGCUAAUCCCGGAUAAUAUUUUGAACCGCAUGGUUCAAAAGUGAAAGACGGUCUUGCUGUCUCUUAUAGCUGGAUCCGCGCUGCAUUAGCUAGUUGGUAAGGUAACGGCUUACCAAGGCAACGAUGCAUAGCCGACCUGAGAGGGUGAUCGGCCACACUGGAACUGAGACACGGUCCAGACUCCUACGGGAGGCAGCAGUAGGGAAUCUUCCGCAAUGGGCGAAAGCCUGACGGAGCAACGCCGCGUGAGUGAUGAAGGUCUUCGGAUCGUAAAACUCUGUUAUUAGGGAAGAACAUAUGUGUAAGUAACUGUGCACAUCUUGACGGUACCUAAUCAGAAAGCCACGGCUAACUACGUG
rnacentral:rRNA from 1 species